UUAGAAAAAAUAAUCAAAUGACUAUGAAACAACUGUACAAGGUGCCAUUUGAGAGGAAUAGUGACAGAGUGGAGGAGCUGUGGUACCAGUAUGUCCAGGUAGGAGUGAUCGUGGUACCAGGAUGUCCAGGUAGGAGCUGAGGUACCAGUGUGUCCAGGUAGGAGCUGCGGUACCAGUAUGUCCAGGUAGGAGCUGAGGUACCAGUAUGUCCAGGUAGGAGCUGUGGUACCAGUAUGUCCAGGUAGGAGCUGUGGUACCGGUAUGUCCAGGUAGGAGCUGCGGUACCGGUAUGUCCAGGUAGGAGCUGCGGUACCGGUAUGUCCAGGUAGGAGCUGCGGUACCGGUAUGUCCAGGUAGGAGCUGCGGUACCGGUAUGUCCAGGUAGGAGCUGCUGUCCAGGUAGGAGCUGCGGUCCAG
rnacentral:lncRNA from 1 species